CCCAAUGUUAUUUUAAACAUUUCCAUGAUAAUUUUACCCAUAUCUCUAGAGCAGCAAUGUCCAACACAACUUUUUGUGAUGAUUUAAACAUUUCCAUGAUAAUUUUACCCAUAUCUCUAGAGCAGCAAUGUCCAACACAACUUUUUGAGAUGAUGGAUAAAUUCUACAUAAAAUGCUGUCUACAUAUAGUUAUUGGGCAUGUGUGAUUAAAUAACUAGAUUUUGAAUUUUAUUUAAUCUUAAUUGAUUUAAAUUUGAAUCACUACAAGUGACUAGUUGCUAUCAUAUUGGACAAGGUUGUUCAAAAGACUCUUGAGGAGCCAAACAGAAGAGGGCUGGCAAGAGAAGAAAACUUUUACAUGAGCUUAAAUAGCAAAACUCGGCCGUGCACAUGUCUGUAAUCCCAGCACUUUGGGAGGCCAAGGUGGGAGGAUUGCUUGAGCUCAAGAAUUCAAGACCAUCCUGGGCAACAUGGCAAAAAUUUGUCUCUGCAAAAAAAAAAUGCAAAAAUCAGCCAGGUGUGGUGGUGUGUGCCUGUAGUCCCAGCUACUCGGGAGGCUGAGAUGGGAGGAUCAAUUGAGCCUAGGAGAUCAAGGCUGCAGUGAGUAAAGAUUGCGCCACUGCACUCCAGCCUAGGUAACAGAGCAAGACCCUGUCUCAAAAAAAUAAAAAUAAAAUAACAAUAAAUAGCAAAACUCAGAAUUAUGCACAUAAGAUCUGAUUUUUUUAAUCAAACAGUACUUUUAAUAUUUUCAAUUGUGCCCAGAAGUAACUAUGGCAUAUAAGUUUUUGCAACAUAAAUGAAACGACAGAGCCUCAACCCAGUUAGUAAGAAAAACAACAAAUCAUCAAGCUUAUUCUUUUUUUUACCUUUUAUUCUCCUGGGAAUCACAGUUACCCAAUCAGGUCCACUGGAGUUGACUGGCAUUUUGAUAUUGACACCACUUUAAGAGGAAUAAAAAAGCACAAGCUCAGGUUCAGGAACAUUUAUUUUCAGAUAUAUGUCUUUAUUGGCAAAUGAUAAAAUGACUAAUUUCACGGAGCCUUAUUAUGAUGAAAUAUACUUAUGAAUGUUAACCAACACAAAAUAAUAAACUGGGUCUCUUGUAGUAAGCAGGUUUUAUGUACAUAAAAACUGAAAAGAAAUUAAAUUGAUUCUUAAAUUUCACUCCACUGUAUACUGCUAAGAGUGCAAACUCCAAAAUGACCAAUUCUGGUUUGAAUUAUGUACUCCCCUUGGACUCAGAGAAUGGCUCACACUGACAAGAAUGUCUAUUUUGUCAUUACUUAGUUUUCAGGCUGCAAGUAUACGCUGCAUUAAGUCAUGUAUCAGAUUCCUCAGGCCUUUUCCAGAUCUGACAGGAGUCCUAGUGGGGACACUUGCCCCCCAGAUACUUACUCAUGCAGUACUUUGCUCAUCAUUACCAGGACUCUUUAGUGUCUGUUCCCCUUACUAAAACAUGUACUACUCAAGGGAGGCAGCAGGGGAAAAAAAUAAAAUAAAAUAAAACAUAUACUACUCGAAGAUAAGGGUGGUGCCUCAUUCAUCUUUGUAUCCUAGCACAGGCCCUGGUCUAGAGUCCACACUCAGUAAAUAUUUUUGGAGGGCUGCAUUAAAACAUGGGGGAGGGUGGAGGUAAGGAGAAAAGCACUCGAAAUCCGGGGCAACUAUUCCAGAAACUGAGUCACAAUAAAACUAGGUCUCUUGUACUUAGACCAAAAACAAAAACAUAAAAUGUUAACUUCUCAAAUUCUUGAUAUGGGAAUGUGCAGUCAUUUUUUAUUAUUUCAUCAAUUUCAGAAAAAACUGUUUAUUCAACAAAUAAUUCUUAAGCUUCUUAAGCCAGGUACUGUCCUAGAAUCCAGGGCUACUACAGUAAGCAAAACACACAGCAUCUCCUUCUUCAUGGAGCUGACAUGGAGACAGACAAAAAACAAGUAAUGAAGGAAGUGUACAGGCCUGGCCACAUUACAGCAUAAUCAAAUUUCAUAGCUUAAAUAAAGUGAUUUUUAAGAGAGCACAUAUAAACUACUUUCAUGAGUUUAGACUUUUAUGGUAAGAAAAAAAUAUACAAUUUACUUGUCUAUAGUUAUAAUAAUUAUAUAAUUAUUAUUGUACAAUAAUAAUUUUCUUACAAAAACAUAAUUUCCUGUAAAAAUAUUUGCAGGAAAACUUCUUCUAUAAUUUUCCUGCCAAAAUAUUUAGCCUCAAUCUAAUCACAUGGAAAGUGAAAACAAUAAAGCAAAUCCAAAGCAGACUGGGCGUGGUGGCUUACGCCUGUAAUCCCAGCACUUUGGGAGGCCAAGACGGGCAGAUAUCCUUGAGGCCAGGAGUCUGAGACCAGCCUGGCCAACAUGGCAAAACUCCAUCUCUACUAAAAAUACAAAAAUUAGCCAGCUAUGGUGGUGCGUGCCUAGUACUCCCAGCUACUUGGGAGGGUGAGGCACAAGAAUCACUUGACCCCAGGAAGUCAAGUGAGCUGAAGGUUACAGUGAGCUGAGAUCACUGCACCGCACCCCAGCCUGGAUGACAAAGCGACACCCUAUCUCAAAAAAAAAAAAAAGGACAUUCUACAAAACAGCAACAUCAAAAUUGCCAAUGUUGUACAAAACAAAAUAGGCUAAAGAAUUCUUUUGGAUUAAAGAGAUAACCAAACACACUGAGUAAGCAUAGAUUAGAUUAGUUAAAAUUAAAAAGAUAGCUACAGAAGUCAUUAUUGGGACAACUGAAGAAACUUGAAUAUCUAAUAUGAACUGCAUAUUAAAUAACAGUACUAUAACAAUGAUAAAUGUCCCAAAUGUGAUCAUUAUGGUUAUAUGUUAGAGAAAGUCCAUUUUCUUAGGAGAGGCAUAUUUAUGGAGUGCAGUGCCAUGAUGUCUGCAACAUACUCUCAGGUGGUUCAGGGGAAAAAAUUAUACACAGAUACAUAUAAACACAAAGAAAGAUAAAGCAAAAUGUGUCAAAACAAUAAUAGUGAAUCUAAGUUAAAGGUAUAUGAGUUCAUUGUUAUUAUUCCUGCAAUGUUUCUAAAGAUUCAAUUUUUUAAACACAAAGUUAGAAAGAAAAAAGUAGCAAUCAUGCUAAAAUAAAAGGGAAAUGUUGUAGGUGAUAAGCCCAUUCUUUCAAAAGGCCUUCCCUUAUAUUAAUAGGAUCUUUAAGGAAACCCCUGUUGUCCUUUCCAAAAGUAACACUUUUAUUCCCUUAUAGAUAAAGAACAAAGAUGACAUAUUUUAAUUGUUCAACUGUCAUUUAGGGAACCAAAUACCAAGGCUAAGCUUCUUAAUUCUUUCUGGUUUAAGUAAGGUUAUGAGCUACCAAGGAAGAGAAGUAAAAAAGGAUAUCAGCUCAACAUAUUUGGGCCAUGAGCUCAAAACAGUAUACCCAAAGAUCCCCCAAAAAAUCAAUUUCAAUCUUUUUCUUUUUCUUUUCAGAUGGCCUUAUGCAAUAUUUCAGAACUUUAACAGAAUAAAGGGUGGAAAAUGAAAAUCAAUUAUGAGAACUCUGUCAAAUGUUUGCUUUCCAAAAACUUACACCACCUCAGACAUUGUUUUCUCAGCAAACUUCCAGGUAAAUAAAAUUCCGCAAUUAUUCUACAACAAUGUACCAUCAACCAGCCUCACCCAGGAUAUGCAAGGAAGGGCAGGGACAAACACAUUAUUUUAUCCUUGUGGGUUCACGGGUGCUUUUUUGUUUUUAAUGGUAGAAUUUAUAGUCAGAAAUACUUUUAAGUUUUACACUAAUUUAGUUCUCUAAACUUUCUCUAUUUUCCACCUGGAAUUUGCGUAAAUUACUAUGUUUCUUCCUCUUUGCUAGGCCACUAAGUAGACUGACAACGUAACUCUAUAGGGCAAUUAUAGUUAACAAUCAUUUACUAUAUAUUUCAAAACAAUUAUGACAGUGGAAUUGGAAUGUUCCCAACACAAAGAAAUGAUAAAUGCUUUAGGCAAUGGAUACUCCAAUUACCCUGAUUUGAUCAUUACAUAUUAUAUGCUUGUAUCAAAAUAUCACAUCUACCUCAAAAAUAUGUGCAACUAGGAUGUAUCCAUAAUAACUUAAAAAUCUAAAAACACAACUCUAACGGGGUAUGGUGGCUCACAUCUGUAAUUCCAGCCCUUUGGGAGGACAAAGCAGGAGGACUACUUGAGCCCAGGGGUUCAAGACCAGCCUGGGCAACAUAGUGAAACCACAUUUCUACAAAACAUACAAAAAUUAGCUGGGUGUGGUGGCGCACACCUGUAGUCCGAACUACUCGGGAGGCUGAGGUGGGAGAAUCCGUCGAACCCGGGACGUUGAGGCUGCAGCAAGCUGCAAUCAUGCCACUGCACUCCAGCCUGGAUGACAAAGUGAGACCCUGUUGCAAAACAAACAAACAAACCAACCCUCUAAAAUAGGGUAAUUGAGUAGUCUUCAUAUAUAGGCAAAAAAGUACACAGAAAUAAAAUAAUCUGCUCAGUCACUAAUAAAUAGCAUGUCUGAAACCUGAACCCACGAAUAAAAUGAAAAAUUUUGUUUUGGUUUUGUUUUGAGGAGUUGUGAAAUUUAAUUUUGUUUUCAUUUUGUACUGAGCCAUAGAAAAUACUAGUCUUCUCAGCAGUACAGUAAACACUGUACAUUGAGUAGUGCUCCCUCUGCUGGCCUUCUAAAAGUAUGGCAUGAACCCACUACAUAUGUACAUAAUCUGGUAUGACCAAAAGCUGACUUCAGGGUGGAAAACUGAAGAGUUUUAUUUUAGGAGCUCCUACAAACCACAUACUUUAUGGUAGCAACUUUUCUCCCAUACGGUAAUGAGUGGACAUAAAGUAUGAAAUUUUUAGGGUGCCCAGAUAUCCUUAACAAAAAUACCUCCCUUUUAUCCAACAAAAAAAUUCUCUCUACCAAGGAAUGUUUAAAAACAAUAUAUUUCACUAAAAAGUAAAAAACAUGUAUACAUUCUUUCAAACAAUUGUACUUUUUGUUGAGACAGGGUCUCACUCUGUUGUCCAGGCUGUAGUGCAAUUGUGAUCACAGCUCACUGCAACCUCAAACUCCUGGGCUCCAGCCUUCCUCCCACCUCAGCCUCCCAAAGUGCUGGGACUACAGUCAUGAGCCACCACGCUUGGCCAGCAUGGUACUUUUUAACCAUGUAGCUUUUAUAAUUUUUUAUUUCUUAGUGAUGUUAUGGAAUGUUGAAGAAAACACAAAUUUUAAUUCAUACUGGUUCCAUAUUCCUUUCUGCACAUUAUUCCAUGUAUUUCUCAUCAUGCUGAAAAUAUUUUAAGCUUACAUUUGAAAUAGAAAUUUGAACACAAUACUGCAAUAAUUUCAACAACUAUUUAGCUUAAAAAAUAUAGUUUUCUGUGGUAUUCCUGACUUCCUAUGCUUAUUAAGUCAACCCAGCAAUGUUGCCAUAUUCAUAGUUUUUUAAUCAGUAGGUUCAAAUGAUUUUAAAAACUGUUAUUAUGUUACUUUUUAAAGUUUCAGUUCAUUAGAUACAAAGAUAAAACACCAGCCUGACUACCAGCCCUACCAGCCCUGUUCUUGGAUUAUUUUUUUCUUUACAUAAAAUAGAUGGGGUCUUGCUAUGUUGCCCAGGCUGGUCUCAAACUCCUGGGCUCAAGCGAUCCUCCCGUUUCAGCCUCCCAAAGUGCUGGGAUUACAAGCAUGAGUCACCACAUCUGACCCUUAGAUAACUUCUAUCUGUUCUGUGAAUAAGGGAUUUUACUUACACAGCUACUGUGUAAACAUGCUAUGUGGUUCUAAAGGAAAACACAGAUAUGAGGGUAAAGAACAAAAAUUCAAGGGUAAAAGGUCUUUAAUUUGGACUCAGAUAAGCAUUAAGCUUCAUUUUUAAAACACUAAUGAAAAAUACAAAUCUAUGUUUUUUUUUUUAUUCACUACCUCUUCUGUAUUGGGCCAAGUUGAGAGAGAGGUAAGAAACACAUACCGAAUACCAGAAAGUCUCCUAAAUGGGACAAGGACAGUGGAAAAGAACUCUUCAAAUCAUCCCCAAGAAAAAGCAGUACAUACCUCUGGAAGAAAGCACUCUCUGCAGCGGUUAGGAGACCUUUCAGGUAUCCACCUUUGAAAUG
rnacentral:tRNA from 10 species